GGUCACUGGAAGAGGGAGGAGGAGGGAUGAUGCCCAGGGACGACACAUUGAAGCCGAUGGACUGACUCAGAUUGCCGGAGACAGCAGCUCGACCCAAAUCAUCAGCAAUGUUCUUCAGGACCUCAAACUGAUGGUCGUCUUCUGUAGACGAUGCCGGCUCUAACCAGUGCUGUUGCUGGUGGAAUUCUGGACGGGAGGCUCCCUGAUCUCCACCUCCACUGUCAGUCCUGUUGAGCGCCGCCGCCUUGCAUUAGUUCCCUCUCGGACGAUUUUGGUGAUUCGGAUCUUGUUUGGGGGUAUUUUCAGGAAUGCAGCCAGAUUGUUGACCAGAUUUUCCCCGAAGAACUCCGCCUCAGUCAUGGCCGGGAGGUUGAAGGCCAGGAAGAGAACCGGAGAGGUGCGGAUUUGGACCGGCUCUGAGCCACGAAGAAGUACGUUCAUCAUUUUGUAGUCUGGGUCAAAAAAGUUGGAGCCAUGACCGGAGUUGAAACCAGGAACAUAUUGACCUGAGGAGCGUAGAGAGGAUUUAAAAUAGGAAUUGUGAUCUGUUGUAAAAUGAUUUUGGUCUUAUAGCCUGCAGGAGGAGCUGUUUGACAUGAAUUAUCAUGCUGUACUCUACCUGUAUAAGUUGGCUCACGCAGUGUGUAGUCAGUUUUGUCUGUGUUCCACUGAGCAUUUGUUGGACCAAUCAAAUUAUUGUUAACAUACACAUCCAGCCGCUGAGGGUUUGAGUAAAAUAUAGCCACCCUAACAGCCUGAGGACAACAGAAGAUUAGUGUAGAAUACAGUGCUUUAGUAUACUGAAUAAAUUCAAUAAAAUGAC